rnacentral:rRNA from 1 species
CCUACGGGAGGCAGCAGUGAGGAAUAUUGGUCAAUGGCCGGAAGGCUGAACCAGCCAUGCCGCGUGAAGGUCAGUGCCCUAAGGGCGUUAAACUUCUUUUGUGCGGGAGCAAUAAUGGUCACGUGUGGCCAGACGAGAGUACCGUACGAAUAAGCAUCGGCGUACUCCGUGCCAGCAGCCGCGGUAAUACGGGGGAUGCAAGCGUUAUCCGGAUUUAUUGGGUUUAAAGGGGGCGUAGGCUGUGCGGUAAGUCAGAGGUGAAAUGCCCCCGCUCAACGGGGUGAAGUGCCAUUGUUACUGCCUUGCUGGAAUGCGGAGGCCGUGGGAGGAAUGUGUGGUGUAGCGGUGAAAUGCAUAGAUAUCACACAGAACACCGAUUGCGAAGGCAGCUCACGAAGCCGCGAUUGACGCUGAUGCACGAAAGCGUGGGUAUCAAACAGGAUUAGAUACCCCAGUAGUC